GUGCUCGCUCCGGCAGCACAUACACCGAAAACUGGGACAAUACGGAGAUUAGCGUGGCCCCUGCGCAAGGAUGACACACAAAUUCAUGAUGUGUUCCAUAUCUAA